UGAUGGCAAAUCCUACACCUGAAUGUCGC
rnacentral:sRNA from 1 species